UAGGGAAUAUUGGACAAUGGGUGAGAGCCUGAUCCAGCCAUGCCGCGUGAAGGAUGAAGUAUUUCGGUAUGUAAACUUCGUAAGAAUAGGAAGAAUAAAUGACGGUACUAUUUAUAAGGUCCGGCUAACUACGUGCCAGCAGCCGCGGUAAUACGAAGGUGGCAAGCGUUAUUCGGAUUUACUGGGCGUACAGGGAGCGUAGGCGGUUCGGUAAGCCCUCUGUGAAAUCUUCAGGCUUAACCUGGAAAAGUCGGAGGGGACUGCUGGGCUAGAGGACGGGAGAGGAGCGCGGAAUUCCCGGUGUAGCGGUGAAAUGCGUAGAGAUCGGGAGGAAGGCCGGUGGCGAAGGCGGCGCUCUGGAACGUUUCUGACGCUGAGGCUCGAAAGCGUGGGGAGCAAACAGGAUUAGAUACCCGAGUAGUCCCUGAGCGGGCUGGCAAGGCGCAU
rnacentral:rRNA from 1 species